UUUUUUUUUUUUGGCCAUGCCAGCGGCAUGUGAAAGUUCCCAGACCAGGGAUCGAACUCAAGCCACAACCUGAGCCACAGCAGUGACCUAAGCCACAGCGGUGAUAACACUGGAUCCUUAAUCUGCUGCACCACAAGGGAACUCUGAAAGCAAACAUUAUUUGGAGUGAGAUCUUAGUUGUAAAACCCUACUCCCCUUCCGGAGAUCAGAUCUCUCUUCUUAGGAUUUCAGAAAGGCACAGCCCGACCAGAGCCUCGCCUCACUCUACUGUUCAUUACUGGAAAUGCACAACCGCGAGGGAGAGAGAGCAGAAACAAUAUCAGAUUUGUCCCUGACAACCAACCACUCUCUAUUCUGCUCAGGAUACACAUCAUUACAUUUUACAUUAAAAGUUUAACCAAAAUAAUGCCCAAGACUGAUGCACCAAAUUGCCACACAGAAUAUUCCAACAGAGGCUGCAGUGUAGCCGUCCUUAAUAUCCGUAGUUAUUUGAGUUAAAUGAAGUCUGACAUAUUCCCACAUGGAAAUAGUCAGGAGAACCAUUUUUUUUUUCAGUCUAUUAAAUUUAAUUCAUUGUGUAUGUUUUCCUUCCUUAUCAGCAGUUCAAAUUAAUUUUUCUCAUUGUCAACAGGCUGUCUCCCACAUCUUUAAAUCCAAGCACACAAUAUUUGCCAGGACUAUCUGUACCCACGGGUGUGGAAAACAACAUGUUCAUUCCAUUAGGUCCUAGCAAGGCUCCAACAAUUACACAAAAUAAUUUAUCCCUCGAUGAUCAGGUACAGCUGUAUCUAAUGUCUCCUGUCAAUUUCCAUUUCAGCUGCAGAAAUUGUGAUGCUCUCAGGAGAGGAGUGAUUGGUUUUCAGUUCCACACUGCCACGGGUGGAAGCCCUCUGAAAACCACCAUGCCUGCCUGUGGAUAACCUGCACCGCAGCAUAAUGACAUUUGUACGUCUGCUACAAGGGCUUAUCCAGGAUGAUAACAAUGUAAUCACUGGCACAGGGGGUGAAAAUAACAUGGAUUUCUCUAUUCACUGAUUGCAUUGAGCCCUGAAACAAAUGGACACCCUCUAAACGGAAGGGCAGCAGUCAACAGGAAAAUAAGUGAGAGAUGCAAAAAGGUUUCUAAUUCAAUUGAAGACAUAAAUUAAUGAUGCACACAGCUUGUACAGACAGCCUCCCUGAGAAGUUUGCCCACUCCUGCAAAGCUUGCAAUCAUACAUCUGGACAAAACUAUAAUUCAAAAUAUUAUAGUUCACUGCCACACUAUUCACAGUGGCCAAGAUGUGGAAACAACUUAAAUGCUCAUCGACAGAUGAAUGUAUCAAGAUGUGCCACAUACAUGCAAUGGAAUAUUACUCACCCAUAAAAAGAAUGAAAUGGUGCCAUUUGUAGCAACACAGAUACAACUAGAGAUUCUCAUGCUAAGUGAAGUAGGUCAGAAAGAGAAAGACAAAUACCAUAUGUUGAAUCUAAAAUAUGGCACAAAUGAACCUAUCUACAGCACAUAAACAGACCCACAGUCAUGGGUAACAGACUUGUGGCUGCCCACGGGGAGAGGGAGAGGUGGGAUAGACAGGGAGUUUGGGGUUUGUAGUUGCAAACUAUUACAUUUAAAAUGAUAAGCAAUGAGAUUCUACUGUAUAGCACAGGGAAUUAUAUCCAAUCAUUUGUGGUAGAACAUGAUAGAAGGCAAUAUGAGAAAAAUCAUGUAUAUAUGUAUGUAUGACUGGGUCAUGUUGCCGUGCAGCAGAAAUUGGCACUAUGCUGUAAAUCAACUCUAUUUUAAUAAAAAAUAAAUUUAAAAUGGAAGAAAAUUAGUACUCAUUCCAACAUUUCUCUCUUUCAUUUUUUUCACCUGCCAACUGAGAAAGCCGAUACUUUCUCAUUCUUACUUCGUAAGGGUGUUCUGAGGACAAACGGAAGAAUAUAAAAGAGAUCAGAGCUUUUGGAAGAAAAGCUCUCUGUUAAUCCAAGCCAUUGCUACUAUUAUCACUGCCAACUACAGAGUGGUUUCAAAUCCUAAAUCUAAAAGCUUUUCAGACAUCUAUUAUUCAAAUCUUAUUAAAAAAAAUCCUGCAUUAUUUAGCUCCUUAUUAGAGGUGGGUAAACUGAGACCUGAAAAGAAUAAGAUACUGCCUUAAGGUCACACAGUGGCAAGGCAGGUGAAGGAAAAAAAAAAAUACUGAUUCUGUGCAAAACAUGCCACAGACACAGUGGCAAAGUGAAACUUAGAACCAUUAAUAUCAGAAAGAGCCUGAAUCAGCAGCUUUUAAAUUUAAGAAAAAAAAAACUAAUUAAAAACACUAGUCCUGCAAAAAUAUUAGAGAAA
rnacentral:lncRNA from 1 species